CUAAAUGGGCUAGGGGGAAGAGAUUCUUACCAAACCUAAUAAAACUCCGAAUGCUAGACAUUGUUCUUCGGCAGACAGACUGUGGGUGCUAAGGUCCAUGGUCGAGAGGGAAAGAGCCCAGACCACCAGAUAAGGUCCCAAAAUCAUGAUUAAGUGUGAAAGGAUGUGGAAAGUCCUUAACAGCCGGGAGGUUGGCUUAGAAGCAGCCAUCCUUUAAAGAUAGCGUAACAGCUCACCGGUCUAAUAGAGUUUCUGCGCCGAAGAUGUAACGGGGCUAAAAUCAUGUACCGAAUCUGUGGCUUUACAAAGUUUUCGAACUUUGUAAGGGGUAGCGGAACGUUCUGUAAGCCUGCGAAGGGAUACCCGUGAGGGAUCCUGGAGGUAUCAGAAGUGCGAAUGCUGACAUAAGUAACGAUAAACGAAGUGAAAAACUUCGUCGCCGAAAAUCUAAGGGUUUCUGCGCAAGGUUAAUCCGCGCAGAGUUAGUCGGCUCCUAAGGCGAGGGCGAAAGCCGUAGUCGAUGGAAAUAAGGUUAAUAUUCCUUAACCAGAUGGUAGUGACGGAUCUUGUAAGUUGUGAGUUCUUAAUGGAUUGAACUUGCUGUGAAAAGGUCCCAGGAAAUAGCUCCAUCAUUAAGACCGUACCCGAAACCGACACAGGUAGAUUAAUAGAGUAUAUUUAGGCGCUUGAGAGAAUGAUGUUGAAGGAACUCGGCAAAAUGCCUCUGUAACUUCGGAAGAAAGAGGACCUAUUUUUGGGCAACCAUAAGUAGGUGGCACAAGCUAGGGAGAAGCGACUGUUUAUCAAAAACACAGGUCUCUGCUAACACGUAAGUGGAUGUAUAGGGUCUGACGCCUGCCCGGUGCCGGAAGGUUAAUGCGAUGUGUGCAAGCUCAUUUCUGAAGCCCCGGUGAACGGCGGCCGUAACUAUAACGGUCCUAAGGUAGCGAAAUUCCUUGUCGGGUAAGUUCCGACCUGCACGAAUGGCGUAACGAUUUCUCCGCUGUCUCCAACAUCAACUCAGUGAAAUUGAAUUCUCCGUGAAGAUGCGGAGUUCGCGUGGUUAGAC
rnacentral:rRNA from 1 species